GACGAACGCUGGCGGCGUGCUUAACACAUGCAAGUCGAGCGGUAAGGCUCCUUCGGGGGUACACGAGCGGCGAACGGGUGAGUAACACGUGAGUAAUCUGCCCCUCACUUUGGGAUAAGCCUCGGAAACGAGGUCUAAUACCGAAUACGACCACUUCGGGCAUCCGCUGGUGGUGGAAAGUUUUUCGGUGGGGGAUGUGCUCGCGGCCUAUCAGCUUGUUGGGGGGGGAAUGGCCUACCAAGGCUUCGACGGGUAGCCGGCCUGAGAGGGUGACCGGCCACACUGGGACUGAGACAGUGCCCAGGCUCCUACGGGAGGCAGCAGUGGGGAAUAUUGGACAAUGGGCGGAAGCCUGAUCCAGCAACGCCGCGUGAGGGAUGACGGCCUUCGGGUUGUAAACCUCUUUCAGCACCGACGAAGCGCAAGUGACGGUAGGUGCAGAAGAAGGACCGGCCAACUACGUGCCAGCAGCCGCCGUAAGAC
rnacentral:rRNA from 1 species